UUGCUUUGGCAGCACAUAUACUAACAUUGGAACAAUACAGAGAAGAUUAGCAUGGUCCCUGUGCAAAGAUGACAGGCCAAUUUGCGAAGCAUUUCGUAUGUGU